rnacentral:rRNA from 1 species
UACGGAGGAUGCAAGCGUUGUCCGGAUUUAUUGGGUUUAAAGGGUGCGUAGGUGGUUUGAUAAGUCAGUGGUAAAAUUAAGCAGCUCAACUGUUUGUGGGCCAUUGAUACUGUCAGACUUGAGACUUGUGGGGGUAAGCGGAAUUGGUAGUGUAGCGGUGAAAUGCAUAGAUACUACCAGGAAUAUCGAUAGCGAAGGCAGCUUACUACGGAAGGACUGACACUGAGGCACGAAAGUGCGGGGAUCAAACAGG